AUCCAGUUGAUGAAUCCCAAAUAGAACGAAACGCAUGUCCUUGAU
rfam:Schistosoma haematobium scaffold719_14, whole genome shotgun sequence.